UACGAAGGGGGGCAAGCGUUUGUUCGGAAUUACUGGGCGUAAAGCGCACGUAGGCGGUCCAGCAAGUCGGGGUGUGAAAGCCCUCGGCUUAACCGAGGAAGUGCAUUCGAAACUACUGGACUUGAAUACUGGAGAGGAUCGCGGAAUUCCCCGGUGUAGAGGUGAAAUUCGUAGAUAUCGGGAGGAACACCAGUGGCGAAGGCGGCCACCUGGACCAGACCUGACGCUGAGGCGCGAAGGCCGGGGGGAGCGGAACGGGAUUAGAAACCC
rnacentral:rRNA from 1 species